rnacentral:rRNA from 1 species
AGAGCGAACGCUGGCGGCAGGCUUAACACAUGCAAGUCGAGCGGGCGUAGCAAUACGUCAGCGGCAGACGGGUGAGUAACGCGUGGGAACGUACCUUUUGGUUCGGAACAACCCAGGGAAACUUGGGCUAAUACCGGAUAAGCCCUUACGGGGAAAGAUUUAUCGCCGAAAGAUCGGCCCGCGUCUGAUUAGCUAGUUGGUGAGGUAAUGGCUCACCAAGGCGACGAUCAGUAGCUGGUCUGAGAGGAUGAUCAGCCACACUGGGACUGAGACACGGCCCAGACUCCUACGGGAGGCAGCAGUGGGGAAUCUUGCACAAUGGGCGAAAGCCUGAUGCAGCGACGCCGCGUGAGGGAAGAAGGCUUUCGGGUUGUAAACCUCUUUCAGGAGGGACGAAGCUACGUCGGGUUAAUAGCCCAGAGGGUGACGGUACCUUCAGAAGAAGCCCCGGCUAACGUACGCGCCAGCAGCCGC